CCGCCGGCGGCCCACCAAACUCUUUGUUUUUAGACCGUAUCUCCUCUGAGUGUUUACAAAAACAAAUGAAUCAAAACUUUCAACAACGGAUCUCUUGGUUCUGGCAUCGAUGAAGAACGCAGCGAAAUGCGAUAAGUAAUGUGAAUUGCAGAAUUCAGUGAAUCAUCGAAUCUUUGAACGCACAUUGCGCCCGCUGGAAUUCCAGCGGGCAUGCCUGUUCGAGCGUCAUUUCAACCCUCAAGCCUGGCUUGGUGUUGGGGCACUACCUGUACAACGGUAGGCCCUGAAAUUUAGUGGCGGGCUCGCUAAGACUCUGAGCGUAGUAGUUUAUCACCUCGCUUUGGAAGGAUUAGCGGUGCUCUUGCCGU
rnacentral:rRNA from 1 species